UACAAAUAGAUAUUUAAUUUUUAAGACUUCAUAUUGGCAAGCGUUUACACAGGACUUGCUUACCUAUGCGUACGCUUGAAUUACAAGCAAGUCAAAAUAAAUAUUAAAUUAGGAAAAAUAACUAUCCGUUAUUAGAAUCUAAGUUCAGGAAACAAAUAUGUACAUACUUGUGCAAGUUCACCACAUCAUCUCUUUGAUGGGCUUGCCUUUUUAAAGACAAAUUAUAAUAUAUAUCGGAUGGCUCCUCCCAAAAAAACCGAUAAUACCUACUGAAUAUGAGUUUGUGUAAAAUGUACGGGGACUGUAACUUAUAUCUAUUCUGUGAAAGUUUGAGUUUUCUAAGCUAGUAUUCGGAGUGGCAGUCUUCCUACAGGUGUGCAGGAGUAUACAACACCGUUACGGAUCUCCUAGUGGAGUGGCAGUCCUCUAACAGGUGUGCAGGGGAAUACAUUUUCUUAGGGAUCUCCUAGGGGAGUGGCAGUCCUCUAACAGGUGUGCAGGGGGAAUACAUUUUGUUAGGGAUCUCCUAGAGAAGUGGCAGUUCUCUAACAGAUGUGCAGGGGAAUACAUUUUGGGAUCUCCUAGGGAGUGGCAGUCCUCUAACAGGUGUGCAGGGGAUGCAUCCUGUUACGGAUCUAUUAGGGAGUGGCAGUCCUCUAACAGGUGUGCAGGGGAUACAUACUGUUACGAAUCUAUUAGGGAGUGGCAGUCCUCUAACAGGAGUGCAGGAGGAAAUGAUUUGUUUAACGACACACUCAACACAUUUUAUUUAUGGUUAUAUGGCGUCGGGAGUGCAGGAGGGAUACAACAUCCUGUUACGGAUCUCCUAAUGGAGUGGAAGUCUUCCUAAAGGGGUGCAGGAGGAUACAACAUGUUACGGAUCUUAUAAGGGAGUGACAGUCUUCUAACAGGGGUGCGGGGGGAGGAUACAACUUCCUGUUACGGAUCUCCAAGGGUAGUGGCUGUCAUCAAAACGAGGACGUCACAGUGAAUCAUGGAAGCAAUCACAACGUCGUCUACCGUCCUGUCCACUCUGUCUUGUGCAGAGAGAUAAGAUUGUGAUCACGGAAUAUGAUUUUGUCAUUCAGAAUUAAAUAUUUCACACACUAUUACUACAUGGAUAUUUGCUACCUUCAGUGAAACGUUCCAACCCUUAGAUGAGAUGGUGUAAAAUAGCCACAUAUACAAAAUCGUAAGUAAAAACAAAGUAACACUCAUAGCAUUAUUUUAAUGCAAUUUUGAAUUAAUUUGUUGCCAUCUGUUGCUAUCUGAACAAUAUUUGAUAUGCAGGCCUGAAUAUUUGACUACGUAGCAGAUAUUCAUAUUAUGAAAUAAAGAAUUUACAGUCUCCGUAUACUUUAAAUAAUUCUAUAUCCAGUAGGGUUAUCGUUUCCAUAUAUAUAUAUAUAUAUAUAUAUAUAUAUAUAUAUAUAUAUAUAUAUAUAUAUAUAUA